GAGUUUGAUCGUGGCUCAGAUUGAACGCUGGCGGCAGGCCUAACACAUGCAAGUCGAGCGGUAGAGAGAAGCUUGCUUCUCUUGAGAGCGGCGGACGGGUGAGUAAUGCCUAGGAAUCUGCCUGGUAGUGGGGGAUAACGCUCGGAAACGGACGCUAAUACCGCAUACGUCCUACGGGAGAAAGCAGGGGACCUUCGGGCCUUGCGCUAUCAGAUGAGCCUAGGUCGGAUUAGCUAGUUGGUGAGGUAAUGGCUCACCAAGGCGACGAUCCGUAACUGGUCUGAGAGGAUGAUCAGUCACACUGGAACUGAGACACGGUCCAGACUCCUACGGGAGGCAGCAGUGGGGAAUAUUGGACAAUGGGCGAAAGCCUGAUCCAGCCAUGCCGCGUGUGUGAAG
rnacentral:rRNA from 1 species